GGUGAAGAACGUAGUGAAAUGCGAUAAGUAAUGUGAAUUGCAGAAUUCAGUGAAUCAUCGAAUCUUUGAACGCACAUUGCGCCCGCCAGUAUUCUGGCGGGCAUGCCUGUCUGAGCGUCAUUUCAACCCUCAUGCCCCUAGGGCGUGGUGUUGGGGAUCGGCCAAAGCCCGCGAGGGACGGCCGGCCCCUAAAUCUAGUGGCGGACCCGUCGUGGCCUCCUCUGCGAAGUAGUGAUAUUCCGCAUCGGAGAGCGAUGAGCCCCUGCCGUUAAACCCCCAACUUUCCAAGGUUGACCUCAGAUCAGGUAGGAAUACCCGCUGAACUUAAGCAUAUCAAUAAGCGGAGGA
rnacentral:misc_RNA from 1 species